GGGCAGCUAGCUCAAUGGCAGAGUACAUGCAUCACACGCAUGGGGUUACAGGUCCGAGUCCUGUGCUGCCCA
rnacentral:tRNA from 1 species